NCCAACGUUUGACCGUCCGUCUUAUUUUAAAAAAUUAUGAAAAAAAUUUAAAAGACAAGUCACGCGUAAAGUAUUAAUCAUGUCUUAUCAUCUAACAUCAAUAAAAAUACUAAUUAUAAAAAAAAUUUAUAUAAGACGGACAGUCAAGCGUUGGAC
rfam:Oryza meridionalis cultivar OR44 (W2112) chromosome 3, whole genome shotgun sequence.